rnacentral:pre_miRNA from 9 species
GCAGUGACGUGCCCUUGUCAUUCUUCAGGCCCUGUGUAUUUACAACUACUGGACGGAGAACUGAUAAGGGCACGCCGUGUA